rnacentral:lncRNA from 1 species
CAUAUUUUAUACAUAUAUGUUAUAUGUAACAUAUAUUUUAAUAUUUUGAAAUUUAUAAACAUAAUAUAUAAAUAUAUAUUUCUAAAUGGUAGAGGAAGGCGUGGGGCGCGGCGCGGUGCCCCAGGUGUGCCCCAGGUGUGCCCCAGGUGUGCCUGGUGCCCCCCAGGUGUGCCCCAGGUGUGCCCCAGGUGUGUCCCAGGUGCCCCCAGGUGUGCUCCAGGUGUGCCCGGUGCCCCCCAGGUGCCCCCCCAGGUGCCCCCCAGGUGCCCACCUGGGGCGUGGCGCGCAGGUAGAGGAAGGCGUGGGGCGCGGCGCGCUGCCCCAGGUGUGCCAGCAGCGCGUCGUGCCACUGCUGGUACAGCGCCCACUCCAGCGGCUGCAGGUGCCCGGCCUCGAAGAGCUGCUGGGCAAACACGUACCUGGCACAGGGGACACACAGUGAUACCACGUUUUAUUUCAUUUAUACCGAAUUUUUAUUUAUAUAUCUAUAGAAAUCGGGAGCU